rnacentral:rRNA from 1 species
AUGCUUCCAAGAAAAGCCCUAUACCCGUUAAGGCAUCAUGGCCUGUACCCGAAACCGACACAGGUGGGGUGGUAGAGAAUACCGAGGGGCGCGAGGUAACUCUCUCUAAGGAACUCGGCAAAAUGGCCCCGUAACUUCGGGAGAAGGGGUGCCACCGCAAGGUGGUCGCAGUGAAGAGGCCCAGGCGACUGUUUACCAAAAACACAGGUCUCCGCUAAGUCGCAAGACGAUGUAUGGGGGCUGACGCCUGCCCAGUGCCGGAAGGUUAAGGAAGCUGGUCAGCGCAAGCGAAGCUAGCGACUGAAGCCCCGGUGAACGGCGGCCGUAACAAUAACGGUCCUAAGGUAGCGAAAUUCCUUGUCGGGUAAGUUCCGACCCGCACGAAAGGCGUAACGAUCUGGGCGCUGUCUCGGAGAGAGGCUCGGCGAAAUAGAAUUGUCUGUGAAGAUGCGGACUACGUGCACCCGGACAGAAAGACCCUAUGGAGCUUUACUGUAGCUUGGUAUUGUGCCCGGGCUCGCAAUGCGCAGGAUAGGUGGGAGGCUUUGAUCAUCGGCUUGCGGGUCGAUGUGAGCCAACGGUGAGAUACCACUCUUUGCGAGCUAGGGUUCUAACGGCCACCCGUCAUCCGGGGGCCGGACAGUACCUGGUGGGCAGUUUGACUGGGGCGGUCGCCUCCUAAAAGGUAACGGAGGCGCGCAAAGGUUUGCUCAGGCUGGUUGGAAAUCAGCCGACGAGUGUAAAAGCAGAAGCAAGCUUGACUGUGAGACCAACAAGUCGAACAGGGAGGAAACUCGGCUUUAGUGAUCCGACGGUUCUGAGUGGAAGGGCCGUCGCUCAACGGAUAAAAGUUACUCUAGGAUAACAGGCUGAUCUCCCCCAAGAGUUCACAUCGACGGGGAGGUUUGGCACCUCGAUGUCGGCUCAUCGCAACCUGGGGCUGAAGUCGGUCCCAAGGGUUUGGCUGUUCGCCCAUUAAAGCGGUACGCGAGCUGGGUUCAGAACGUCGUGAGACAGUUCGGUCCAUAUCCGGUGCACGCGCAGGAAUAUUGAGAGGAUUUCUCCCUAGUACGAGAGGACCGGGAGGAACGCACCUCUGGUGUACCAGUUAUCGUGCCAACGGUAAACGCUGGGUAGCCAUGUGCGGAGUGGAUAACCGCUGAAAGCAUCUAAGUGGGAAGCCCACCUCAAGAUGAGUAUUCCCAUGGCGUAAGCCAGUAAGGUCACGGGAAGAACACCCGUUGAUAGGCUCUAUGUGGAAGCGCAGUAAUGCGUGAAGCAGAGGAGUACUAAUAGACCGAGGGCUUGACCC